GGCACUAUGGCCGAGUGGUUAAGGCGGUAGAUUCGAAUUAGCCUCGAUUACAUCUACUCCCCAUUGGGGUCGCAGGUUCAAAUCCUGCUGGUGUCG